CAGCAGUAGCCGCGGUAAUACGUAGGUGGCAAGCGUUGUCCGGAAUUAUUGGGCGUAAAGCGCACGCAGGUGGUUUAAUAAGUCUGAUGUGAAAGCACACGGCUCAACCGUGGAGGGUCAUUGGAAACUGUUAAACUUGAGUGCAGGAGAGAAAAGUGGAAUUCCUAGUGUAGCGGUGAAACGCGUAGAGAUUGGGAGGAACACCAGUGGCGAAGGCGGCUUUUUGGCCUGUAACUGACACUGAGGCGCGAAAGCGUGGGGAGCAAACAGGAUUAGAUACCCCGGUAGUCCCUGUCUCUUAUAC
rnacentral:rRNA from 1 species